GGUGUUUGUGCCGUGAUGGCUAUUCUUGUGCGUUUUCUGUUUGGGCAUGGGGAAUUUUUGCUUUGUGCCCUGAACUUUGUGGGCCGUUUUGGGCGAUAUACCAUAUUAGUCCGCCUCAGUGGGAUCUCUAUUUAUGCGCCGCACUAUCGAAACGGCGCGCAUCUAUGACGUCAUCACGUUAUACGUCCAUGUGAUCCCACAGCCUAUAUAAACCUGAUGCUCAUGCAAUGGCGCUGUGUCACCGUGUGUACACCCUGGGACACAGACGCAUUGCUGCUGCAAUCAGUUAUAGGGCCUGUACAAAAGCCCCAUACAAAGGCUGCUACAGAAAGGGUUUCUCUAUGUAAGCCCCUCCACAUUGCUGUUAUACUGCCAUCUGUUGUCCCAGUGUGCUCAGGACUUCAUAAAAAUAGUCCGAGUAUUAACUCUUCCUGUGGUACAUAUCUUCCACCUUUUGGACUUGCAGUCUUGACUCUUUCGACUCACCUAAGAUUUUCGAUAUAUGGAAACUUGUGCCUAAAGCUUACCUUCCGACUUGGUAUAUUUCCAUCUUAUAUGCCCCGUGGACGCACCCAUCGAGGGACCACCAGCCAUGUAAAUACACACUAUGACACUUUUAUGCAUUGCAUUUUAUUUUAAUUCUAUAUUUUGAUUAAUAUUUUUGUUUGACUAAUAUGCCACACUGUAUCAUUG